CUAGGAUUAAAUGAUCGACAGCUGCACAGGAAUGCGGAAGUAAAUUAUGAAAAAAGGAAAACAGAAAAACUUUUUACGCCACUCGGUGAAAAGCUGCCACAUCCAGAUGUAUUAAAAACGUUGAGUAGUGACUUAAUGGACUUUCCUACAUUAAUAGAUAGUGACAUCUACAAUUAUUUUGUGCUGAAAAUGAACACACAAAAACAAUUGAGAUAAAAAAAUUGUAUUAUGUUUACAGACAUAAACACAGUAUUUUGUACCAUGACAUAAGUGACAAAUGGGAACAUUGUUUUGUUAAAUGCAAAGUAUUACCAUCUCUACCGAGUGCAAAUGUGAAAGAAAACCCAGAUCACAGUGUGUGGCUCUGUCUGUCAAAGGUCACUGGACAGGUUCAUUCAGCGGAAUGUAAUUGCACAGCCGGGAGCGGAGAAGCAUGUAUCCAUAUUGGUGCAUUUAUGUAUGCCCUUUCUGAUCUCACUGCUAAAAAGAAGGACGGCACUCUAAGAUCAACCUCAAAAAAAUGCGUGUGGGACAGAUUUAAUAAUCCCCGGAAAAGAAAGCUAACGCCUAAAAAGUCUAGUGAAUUUACAUUUCGGAAACAUACCUUUGAGUCAAAAUUAGAGCCAGUCGAAAAUAACACCAGAAAAGAACUUCUUGCGAUUUCUGUAAAUGAGAACAGUUUCCGUUCAAAACUCGAAAAUAUGCAACCCAACAGCUGGAUGGCUUUUGAACUUUGUAGAAGAGAAGGAAGAGGUGAAAUUACCAAAGUUUAUAGAAAUUGGAUAUAACUUUAGUGAUAGCGUAGAUCUGAAUAGUGAAACUGUGAAGGAUAAAAUGUCGAAAAUGAUGGAUAUGCUACAAAUGGAUGAACUUGAAUGCCAAAGUAUUGAAAAAUUAACCAGAGGUCAGGGAAAGAACGUACUUUGGGAAGAUGAAAGAAAAUUACGUGUAACUGCAUCCAAUUUUGGUGAAGUAAUUUUACUGAAACAAGAGACUGAAAGAUUUAAAAGAAAUUGAGUGCAAUCUUUAAAGAAUAGUAACAAAUAUGAAUUUAAGAUCACAAUUGUGAAUUUCUCGCAAGCUUACCCUUGCUCCUAGAAUAUGUUUUUAUAAUUUUGAUGUCUCACUUUUCUCUAGAGAUUAACCCUUUACCACUUAGAUAUGUAUUUUCAAGCUUUUGUAGUUCCUUAAAAAGUUAAAUGUAAUAAAGUACCUUUAUUACUAAAUUUAAGUUUUAAAGGCUUCAUUUCCAACCCUUAAAUACUGAUGAGCAGCUAACAGUAUAAAACCUGAACAGACUGCGAGUUACUAGCAUGCUGUUCUGGUUUUAUGCUGUUUUCACUGUGCUUCCAAGUGGAAUAGGGUUAAAUAACAAAAGUUAACGCCAGAUCAGAAAAUAAUUUAAGUAACAACAGUACAGGACAUCAUUGAGGUCCCUCCUUUUUUAUGUUUCAAUAGUCAUUUAGCUCUACAAAGCAUAUAAAUAUUGUACAUAAAAGUGUAUGAAUGUAUAAAUAUUUAUCAACUGUUCAUAUUAUGAAUUUUACAGUAGUACAUGUAGAAUGCUUUUCAACGAUUUGUGUACGGUUCAUUAAUACCAUCACAACGUGAUUGUCAAUUGUUAUUCCGCUAAAUUGAUUUGCUCUUAAAAUGAUAAAUCAUAAAAAGAA